UCCAACUUGUCCGUCGCUAUUUCAUCAGUCACUGCCACAGACGCUGCUAGUAUAGGAUCAGACUCCAGUGGAACCAGUGGACUAUCAGAAACUCACACACCCACGAUGACAGUGGGAGACUGCUGUUGCUACCGCAACUUGCCAGACGGCUCUCUGAGUCACUUAUUAAGGGAAUUAAAAGAGGGAAUCCAUAUUGCUUACUCUUGGACAGGUCACCAUAUCCCGCUUCCCCUUCUGCUUUCGCCAUGCGUGCAGACAAGCACGGAGCAGAAGCCGGGGCUACGGCCCGAGGAGACGACGGGGGCCUCUAAACAUCACUGCGAGCACAAAGAGGGCUUUAGUAGACACAGCGAAGAGCAGGCCAUCACCACAGGCCUGCCAAACGCAUUACCAUGAGAAGACGAAGUGCCUUUAGGAGACAGGAUAGCGGCCCUGCCUGAGAUGGCAGCUUUUCCUCAACCCCCUGCAGCACUUCUCUUUCACACCACCAGGGGGAAGACAAGUAAGGGUAGUUCUCCUGAAGUU